GAUGAACGCUAGCGGGCAGGCUUAACACAUGGCAAGGUCGAAGGGGGCAACACGGGUAGCAAUACCUGGGUGGCGACCGGCGCAAGGGUGCGUAACGCGUGAGCAACAUGCCCUAUACAGGGGGAUAAUACCAGGGAAACUUGGUCUAAUAUCCCAUAGUAUUUAGAGGUGGCAUCACCACUAAAUUAAAGCUUCGGUGGUAUAGGAUUGGCUCGCGUGACAUUAGCUAGUUGGUGAGGUAAAGGCCCACCAAGGCGAUGAUGGGUAGCCGGCCUGAGAGGGUGUACGGCCACACUGGGACUGAGAUACGGCCCAGACUCCUACGGGAGGCAGCAGCUAAGAAUAUUCCGCAAUGGACGGAAGUCUGACGGAGCGACGCCGCGUGGAUGAAGAAGGCCGAAAGGUUGUAAAGUUCUUUUGCUAGGGGAGAAUAAGUGUGGGAGGGAAUGCCUGCACGAUGACAAGGACUAGCGAAUAAGUCCCGGCCAACUACGUG
rnacentral:rRNA from 1 species